UUGAUUGUUGUAAUCAAUUAGAAACGUUGUUUUUAAAUGUUGUGGUUAAGUAUUUUUAUCUGUUUUGAUAUUUGUUGUUUGUGUUGUUUAUUCAGACCUGUUCGAUUUUAAGUGUGUUUAAGUUGGAGUGAUGUUUGUUGUUGACCUUGUUGUAACAAAAAGUUAUUAAUAUAUCAAAAUCAAAUGUUACAAAAAUUGAAAGGAGAUACUAAAUUAUGAUGCAGAGGUUGCUUUGAG
rnacentral:lncRNA from 1 species